GCUGUGGGGACACUUGCAUCUGUCACACACAGGGACCAAGGCAGAGCUUGAGCUGCCUGGAUCCAGGUUCUUACUGGCAGUGUUUACAAUCAAUGUACUGGGUUCUGGUGUAGGCACCAUCAUUUAACUCCUCACAACACCCUAUGAGAUGAGGAAAGGAAGCCCG